rnacentral:rRNA from 1 species
UGCGCAGGCGGUUAUACAAGACAGGCGUGAAAUCCCCGGGCUCAACCUGGGAAUUGCGUCUGUGACUGUAUAGCUAGAGUGUGUCAGAGGGGGGUAGAAUUCCACGUGUAGCAGUGAAAUGCGUAGAUAUGUGGAGGAAUACCAAUGGCGAAGGCAGCCCCCUGGGAUAACACUGACGCUCAUGCACGAAAGCGUGGGGAGCAAACA